CUUGCUUCUCUUGAGAGCGGCGGACGGGUGAGUAAUGCCUAGGAAUCUGCCUGGUAGUGGGGGAUAACGUCCGGAAACGGACGCUAAUACCGCAUACGUCCUACGGGAGAAAGCAGGGGACCUUCGGGCCUUGCGCUAUCAGAUGAGCCUAGGUCGGAUUAGCUAGUUGGUGGGGUAAUGGCUCACCAAGGCGACGAUCCGUAACUGGUCUGAGAGGAUGAUCAGUCACACUGGAACUGAGACACGGUCCAGACUCCUACGGGAGGCAGCAGUGGGGAAUAUUGGACAAUGGGCGAAAGCCUGAUCCAGCCAUGCCGCGUGUGUGAAGAAUG
rnacentral:rRNA from 1 species